rnacentral:rRNA from 1 species
AUUGAACGCUGGCGGCAGGCUUAACACAUGCAAGUCGAACGAGUGGCGGACGGGUGAGUAAUGCUUGGGAAUCUGGCUUAUGGAGGGGGAUAACGACGGGAAACUGUCGCUAAUACCGCGUACCAUAGGAUGAGCCCAAGUGGGAUUAGGUAGUUGGUGGGGUAAUGGCCUACCAAGCCGACGAUCCCUAGCUGGUCUGAGAGGAUGACCAGCCACACUGGAACUGAGACACGGUCCAGACUCCUACGGGAGGCAGCAGUGGGGAAUAUUGCACAAUGGGCGCAAGCCUGAUGCAGCCAUGCCGCGUGUGUGAAGAAGGCCUUCGGGUUGUAAAGCACUUUCAGCGGGGAGGCGUUAAUCACAGAAGAAGCACCGGCUAACUCCGUGCCAGCAGCCGCGGUAAUAC